rnacentral:rRNA from 1 species
GACGUGGAUAACCUCGGGAAACUGAGGAUAAACCACGAUAAGUCACUACUUCUGGAAUGGGUAAUGACUCAAAUCUAUAUGGCCCCUGGAUUGGACUGCGGCCGAUCAGGCUGUUGGUGAGGUAAUGGCCCACCAAACCUGUAACCGGUACGGGCUCUGAGAGGAGGAGCCCGGAGAUGGGCACUGAGACAAGGGCCCAGGCCCUAUGGGGCGCAGCAGGCGCGAAACCUCUGCAAUAGGCGAAAGCUUGACAGGGUUACUCUGAGUGAUUUCCGUUAAGGAGAUCUUUUGGCAUCUCUAAAAAUGAUGCAGAAUAAGGGGUGGGCAAGUCUGGUGUCAGCCGCCGCGGUAAUACCAGCACCCCGAGUGGUCGGGACGUUUAUUGGGCCUAAAGCAUCCGUAGCCGGUUUUACAAGUCUUCCGUUAAAUCCAACUGCUUAACAGGUGGGCUGCGGAAGAUACUAUAGAGCUAGGAGGCGGGAGAGGCAAGCGGUACUCGAUGGGUAGGGGUAAAAUCCGUUGAUCCAUUGAAGACCACCAGUGGCGAAGGCGGCUUGCCAGAACGCGCUCGACGGUGAGGGAUGAAAGCUGGGGGAGCAAACCGGAUUAGAUACCCGGGUAGUCCCAGCUGUAAACGAUGCAGACUCGGUGAUGAGUUGGCUAUAUGCCAACUCAGUGCCGCAGGGAAGCCGUUAAGUUUGCCGCCUGGGGAGUACGGUCGCAAGACUGAAACUUAAAGGAAUUGGCGGGGGAG